CUAGUCAGAGUAGAUGCCUCAUCGGUGGUAGCCAUGAAAAUAAAUAUAGCCAUUUCGUGGUAGAGUUAGUGUAUUAUUUUUAUUAAGCCUAAGACAGUGUUUGAUUUCCACUUGAACCACUGGGACUGUCCCUGUGACCAAACACACUUUCCUUUCUUAGGCAAGGAUGAAAGUAGUUUCCAACGUAUCCAUCUCAAUGACAGUGCCCUGGUCCCCUCGUGGGACACUGGAAUGGGUUUUAAUACCAUAUUCUGUUUUCUUUCUCCUGUGAACUGGCUAGAACAUCGUCCCUGAUCCUGGUUUUUGAAUAUUCUCCUUUUCUUCCCACCUCUUUUCCACUUUGUCAGUCUCCUCAGAGCUGGCUCACCUCCUCCCCUCUUCCUCUGCCCAGAAUGGUCCCUGUCCCCCAACCCACUGUGAUACACCCGAGUGCUUGACACCUGGCUUUCCUCCAAAAUGGCAGCCAAACCCGACGCCAACCUCCAGAACUUUUUCAUCUUGCAAAACUGAAACUCUGUCGCCAUUAAACACGAGCUGUCCAGUCACCCCUUCUUCCAGGACCUCACGAACACUAUUCUACUUUCUGUCUCUAUGAGUUUGACUACCUUACGUGCCCGUGUAGCUGUUCUUUUGUGGCUGGCCUGUUUCACGUAGCAUAACGUCCUCAAGAUGCAUCCGUGUUGUAGCACGUGUCAGAGUCUUCUUCUUUUUCAAGGCGGAGUAACAUUCUGCCCGUUGUAUGUACGCAUUACCUUACCCCCUCUAGGGACUUCGUCUCUCUCCUAAAGAAGAAAAGGGAACGGUCACGCACAUGCCCAGAUGGUUUCCCUUUGGUCAGCAGCGGUAAAAACCCUUCAGCAAAAACCUCAGGAAGUAAGAAGCCCCCAGUGAUAAAACCUGGAUCAUACUAAUGUGACGUGUCUAUUUGUCAAAUAAUUCAUUUGCAAUUAGCAGAAGGCUCUUGAAUAUAUCACCUUGGGCUCAUGGCUGAAUUCUUUAUUGCUGUUGAACUUGCCAGAUGUGACAUGUUCUUGGUGAUACUUUAAGUCCCUUGGGGCUUAUGUACACAGUGUCCUUCACCUGAGACAAAGUGGCUGUCUUUGAAAAAAUACUUCAUUUUGCUCACUGCCUUUGAAAAAAUACUUCAUUUUGCUCACUGCUAAGCAAGCCGAUGAUGGAACUGUCUUGAUCUCAAUAAGGACUGCAUCAAAACACUCAUCACUAAAGAGAGAAAAACUUGCACCAGAAUGAAGAAAUUCCAUAUCUCUCCUCUCUACGUGAAUGCAUUAGCAAGCUUUUAACCAGAUGAAAUAAUACAGGGUAAGCCAUCUUGAUAACUUUUUCUUGUGUACAGCAAUGUCUGCCGCUCACCUUCUGAGUGUCUGCAAUAAACAUGCUUUA